UUUUUUUAAAUAAUGUUAUUUGCUAAUCAAUCAAUUUCACUUAUCCCCCUCCCUCGAAUUGUGUAAUCUUGGGGUGGGGGGGUCAACUUUUCAUGUGAAAAUUUUCCCCUCCAAAGUCAAAACCAAGUUUUCGGUUUUGAAAUUACUACAAGGUGAGAGAAAAUUUAAAAGAUAUAAUAUGGCGGUUAAAAAUAAUUUAUUGCACAUUUAAAGCAAACUUGCUUUGCAUGUUCUUAGUGUUGUUACCUAGAAUCAUUCAUCUAGUGCAACAUUUGAAUAGAAGACAUUCUUCAAAUGUGCAAUCACAACAACUGAAUUUAAUUUGUUUAACACAACUUGGUCUUGAUGUUGGGAUUUUACUUUCCGCUAGUUUAUUUAUUUAUAUAAGUAUGUAUUUGCAAAUAUAUUCAAAGUUUAAUCCCUCCUUCCUGCAGGGUGAGGCAACUAAGAAUUACACUCGAUGGAUAGUGAUGGGCUCAUUAGGCAAAUUAAUGCAGACCGCCAAACACAAGGUGAGGCGACUAAGGAAAAGUUUCAUGAAAAAGAGCAGUUAAUUUUUUAUGGCUGGUACAUCAGGCGAGUACUGAGGACCAUCAAAAACAACAACAAAAAAGGAUUGAAAGAAGCAAUAUAAAUGAAUGAAUUUAAGGAAUUUAUAUGUAAUCACAAAAGAUAUGUACCUAUAAAAAAUAAAGUUUCUGUUCAUUGAAAAAAGAA